GCCGCCUCCUCCUCCCCUCCCCCCUUGGGCCCUUCUCGCUUUUAGGCCCCAAAUCCCCGCCCAACUCCAGGACCAGCCCAUUCAUCUCCCAACACUAGUUGGCCCCGCGCUCGCUCAAACCACCGCCGGUGCGCCCCCAAACUCCUUGUUCUGAGCCUCCCCCACCCCGCCCCAUUUCCGCAUAGUUCGUGCUCCCGGCACCCCGCGCGCGCCUCGGGUACCUCCUUGGCCCGCGGGAACCGAAGCCCGGAGACUCCGCCCGUCCUAGGCCCCGCCCUAAAGCCCCACCCUGGCACGUGCCCGCGCGGGACCGAUAGCCUCUCAGAGCUCCCAAGGUGACCCCUUGGAAGUCAGUCCCUGGCCUUACUAUCAACCCCUGGGAUCUGCCUUUGAAGGAUUGGGAGGGGGGGUUCGCGGCGUUCUGAGAAGUUCAGAAGCGAUGCAGGCCCGGAAGCGGAAGCAGAGGGUUGAAGAAGGCCGGACGUCGGGGCAGCGAGGACCACAGAGAUCGAGCCCACGCCCACCUCCUUCCCUCCCGGCGGGCACACUUGGGAGUGGGACUAGACGCUCGGUCUGGGUCGGGAGGGCUCGGAGCCUGAAUCUGAGCAAGGGCUGUCCCAGUACCCGCCAGUUAGGUUCCAGGAAUGGGAUUGAGGUUGCCGUGGUGGCGUUGGAGUGGUCACCAGGCCUUCAUCCAGUCGCUGUCAAUCCUGCUCAGCUGUCUGGGACUCUUGUGGACACCCAGCAUCCGCCAGCAUCCUGCUUACUGAAUACAAGUUGUGGAUGAAAAUGAUCCCUCUCAAAGGCAGCAAGUCCUCCAACAAUCAACCAGCUUUUCCUAAGCAUCUACUAUGUGAGAGAUUAAUAAAGAUGAAUAAUUAAGUAGGGAAAGCCCUCUCAUGUUCAUAGUUCUCCAUUCUCAUGAAAAUAACGUAACUUUUGGAGUUCCCUUGUGGUGCAGUGGGUUAAGUAUCUGGCGUUGUCACUGCAGCAGCCUGUGUCGCUGCUGUGUUGUGGGUUCCAUCCCUGGCCUGGGAACUUGCAGUUCACUAAGGGUAAAGCACUAUCACUCCUAUCCAGCAGAUGAGGAAAUUUAGUUUCAGUGGGUUAAGUAACUUUCCCAAAAUCACACAGCUCUAAGGAUGGAAUNUUAUUUUUUUAGGACCACACCUGUGGCAUAUGGAAUUUCCCAGGCUAGGGGUGGAAUCUAAGCUGCAGCUGCCAGCCUAUUGCCACAGCAACACCAGAUGCGAGCCACAUCUAUGACCUACACUGCAGCUUUCAGCAAUGCAGGAUCCUUAACCCACUGAGUGAGGCCAGGGAUCAAAUCUUCAUCCUCAUGGGUACUGGUCGGGUUCUUAACCUGCUGAGACACAACUGGAACUCCUUGAUAGACUUUUUUUAAAGAAGUUUUUUUUUGUUUGUUUGUUUUUUGUCUUUUCUAGGGCCGUACCAGUGGCAUUAAAGAGCAUUUUUUUUUUUUAAGUUCACAGCAAAAUUGAGCAAAGAUGCAGCAUUUCCAUAUGCCUCCUGGUCCAGCAUACAGCUUGUCAACAUCACACACCAGAGUGGUGCAUUUGUUUGGAUAUAUCAUUAGCACCCAAAGUCCAAACUUUAUAUUUGAUCUUUUUUUGGGGGGGGCGUGUCUUUUUGCCUUUUCUUGAACCACUCCCUCGGCAUAUGGAGAUUCCCAGGCUAGGGGUCUAAUCAGACCUGUAGCCACUGGCCUGCACCACAGCCACAGCAAUGUCAGAUCCAAGUCGCGUCUGUGACCCACACCACAGCUCCAGAUCCUUUACUCACUGAGCAAGGCCAGGGAUCGAACCUGCAAUCUCAUGGUUCUUAGUCAGAUUUGUUAACCACUGCGCCACGACGGGAACUCCCAACUUUUACGUUUGAUAAGCCUUGGCUUUUAACCACUAGGCCACUCUCCUGAAGGGAGAUUCAACUGGGACUUUGAAGGAUGUGUAGAAUUUUCAAAGCAGGGGAGGUGGGAAGGACAUUUCAGGCAGGAGAGUUGUAGAGAGCAAGAUGUGGAAGGAUUUUCAGGGUACUUGGCCAGUUUGACUUGAGCAAGAGUCCCCAAAUUUUAGUCAAUUAAAUAUCAACCUCACGACAUUUUUCCUAAGAAAUAAUAGCCAUGAAUCAUGGGUUUAAUAUGCAAGUUUUAUUUUUUGAAUACCAGUUGAAAUAAAUAUAUCAACCUUUGAAAAAUAUUUGGUCAAUGCCACUAAAAUGAUCCCUAGAGCCCCCAGUGCUAGCCAUGUUUCAUUCUGGAAAUUGCUACCAUAGAGAAUUAUUGGAGGUACCCUGGGGAGGUAGGAAGAGACUAUUGUUUGUUAAGCAAGAGUCACCUAUGUCCCUAGAAAGUGGAUUGCUGCUGUUCGUAAUUCUCUGAGCCCCAGACCUACCAGCAUUUUUUUUUUUUUUUUUUGCCAUGCCCAAAGCAUGCCUGGGCCAGGGAUCGAAUCCGAGCCACAGCAGUGAUGCCCAUCUUUAACCUGCUUCCACCAGGGAAUUCCAUGAAGAGCAUUUUACUUAGAAGAAACAGUAUGUGCAAAGUUCCUCAGGCUGGAAGGAACAAUGUGUGUGGACACCUGAAAGAAGCAUGAAAGGAAGAGUCAUGGAGAGGAGUUUGCAGGGACCAGACCCUUCAUGUAGUUCCUGGAGGCCUCACAAGCCCUGUGAUCUUAAUGGUGUGCCUUAUGUGGAGCCAUUUAUUUAUUUAUUGUCUUUUUGCCUUUUCUAGGGCCAUUCCCUUGGCAUAUGGAGAUUCCCAGGGUAGGGGUCUCCUGAGGAGCCAUUUAGAGUUUCAAGUAGAGUGACUUCCAUUCAAUUACUCAGAUAACAAAUACUUUUUGAACACUUCAUGGAGAGCACUGGGGAUUUUAUAGAACAAGACUCUUAUGGUCCCUACCAUCAGGAACCUUAUAUUCCUUUAUUUAUUUAUUUAUUUAUUUUUUGGUCUUUUUGCUAUUUCUUGGGCCGCUCCUGCGGCAUAUGGAGGUUCCCAGG
rnacentral:lncRNA from 1 species